AAUUUCUCAGGACUGCACUGGACAGGGUCAGGAUACUAGUCUUGCACCACCAUUAUGAAUUGCUUAAGGAAAUAAUAUGAAAGGAAAACGAUUUUCUUCCAGCCUCCAGCAUGCAUAAGUGAAGCAGGAAAGGAGAUUUUCUCACGGACCAAGGUGAUAAGCAGAGUCUUCCAAUCUGUAACAGUUUAAGUGAACAAAUUUGCUUAUUACCUUUGAGGAUUAUUAGUUUUAUACAAGAAAGGGACAUAUGUGCAUUCCUUGGAGUUCACAAGGAUGAAUGCGGAUUUGUUUGGAUAUGUACCUGUAUUCUCAUCCACAUAAUAAAGCCCAUCCAUGCCUUACUGAACCGAUUGAAUGGGUCUUUUGAUGCCCAAGAGAUGCUCAUCUGACUGUGCAUUCCCAAGCAUGUUUGCUCAGAAGUAAGUUCCACUGUAUUCAUUCCCAGGCACUGGUGAUAGGACUGUUAUCAAAACACACUAUUACAGCCUGUCUUGCUGUUGACCUUCAGGAGAUCAGAUGAAGAUGAUACAUCGGAUACCAAGCCAGUGCUUCCUCCAGCAAUAUGGAAGUACUUUCCACUAUUCAUGGCUGAAAAUAAAACAUUUUUGCACUGAGAAAUAACAUUUUUGCUCAUCUCUAGAUUCAGAAGAAAGAACACUUCAUACCAUAGUUCAAUAAAACAAGAAGUGAACUUCCACAGUUGCUAUAAAGCUUUGUUUUAGACAUGCACUCUAAAAAUUGUCUGUGCUUGCCACAAACAUACAGCUUUUUAAAUCAUUAACAUUAUAAUGAAAAUUGUUUUUAAAACAUCUAUCUUCAGUAUGCUGUUUAAUAUUGAACACUGUAAUGUUAAAUUCCAAAUUUAUGUGUGAAUUAUAAGGUUUUAAAUCUUAUUCUUCAUUGACUGAUUCAUACUUAUUGAAAUGGAGAUGACUCUGAUGAACAGUUCCAAAUGAUACUUGGAAUGUAUUAGAUUUGGUAAAUUUCAGAACUGCUUCUUUUAUAGAAAUUUCCUUAGAAUCUUUUGAAGUUCAACUCCAUUCAUUAUUAGAUUCAUGCCAAAUUUAAUCAUGUAAUAUUUACUGAGAAUUAAUGUUUUAUGUGGAAAAUUAAUGGCUGGAAACCAUUUUCUGUGUAAUCUACAAAUGAAAAUGUGUACCCUGAUACAGGAACAAAAUAUGCAGUCUUGCACAAUUCUAUAAGCCCAUUGAAUUUUAAAGAUGAAAAUACAUUUAACUAGGACCAAAACUGCAAAAUAAUACAAUUGAAUC